rnacentral:rRNA from 1 species
AUUGAAUGCUGGCGGCAGGCCUAACACAUGCAAGUCGAGCGGUAGAGAGAAGCUUGCUUCUCUUGAGAGCGGCGGACGGGUGAGUAAUGCCUAGGAAUCUGCCUGGUAGUGGGGGAUAACGUUCGGAAACGGACGCUAAUACCGCAUACGUCCUACGGGAGAAAGCAGGGGACCUUCGGGCCUUGCGCUAUCAGAUGAGCCUAGGUCGGAUUAGCUAGUUGGUGAGGUAAUGGCUCACCAAGGCGACGAUCCGUAACUGGUCUGAGAGGAUGAUCAGUCACACUGGAACUGAGACACGGUCCAGACUCCUACGGGAGGCAGCAGUGGGGAAUAUUGGACAAUGGGCGAAAGCCUGAUCCAGCCAUGCCGCGUGUGUGAAGAAGGUCUUCGGAUUGUAAACCUCUUUUAGCAGGGAAGAAGCGAAAGUGACGGUACCUGCAGAAAAAGCGCCGGCUAACUACGUGC